rnacentral:rRNA from 1 species
UACCCGCAGCACAAGUGGUGGUCAUUAUUAUUGGGCCUAAAGCGUCCGUAGCUGGCUUGUUAGAUGCCUGGGUAAAUCGAUGCGCUCAACGCAUCGAACUCCGGGUAGACCGGCAAGCUUGGGACCGGGAGAGGCGUGAGCUACUCGAGGGGGUAGGGGUAAAAUCUGUAAUCCUUCGGGGAGGACCAGUGGCGAAGGCGUCACGCUAGAACGGCUCCGACAGUGAGGGACGA